AUACGUAGGGGGCGAGCGUUGUCCGGAAUGAUUGGGCGUAAAGGGCGCGUAGGCGGCGCGGUAAGUCUGGAGUGAAAGUCCUGCUUUCAAGGUGGGAAUUGCUUUGGAUACUGCCGCGCUUGAGUGCAGGAGAGGUUAUCGGAAUUCCCGGUGUAGCGGUGAAAUGCGUAGAGAUCGGGAGGAACACCAGUGGCGAAGGCGGGUAACUGGGCUGCAACUGACGCUGAGGCGCGAAAGUGUGGGGAGCAAACAGGAUUAGAUACCCUGGUAGUCCACACUGUAAACGAUGAAUGCUAGGUGUAAGAGGUAUCGACCCCUUUUGUGCCGGAGUCAACACAAUAAGCAUUCCGCCUGGGGAGUACGGCCGCAAGGUUGAAACUCAAAGGAAUUGACGGGG
rnacentral:rRNA from 1 species